AAAAGCCGACAAGAAUUUUAGGCAAAAUUCAAGAGAUAAAGGAUAUUCAGUGAAUUAGAGCCUUGUCCGAACCUAUCCUUACCAUCAAAAUCUCAAGAUAUUUUUGUUUACAUAAAACUGAAUUUUUUCCCCACUUUGAUUGGAUGCCGUCAAGUGAGGAGACCACAAUUUUGACAUCUGUUGGACCCAUAUGUGAAGGAAAUCCCCAAC
rnacentral:lncRNA from 1 species